rnacentral:rRNA from 1 species
GGAUAACCUACCCUUAGGACCGGGAUAACCCUGGGAAACUGGGGAUAAUACUGGAUAGGCAAUUUUUCCUGUAAUGGUUUUUUGUUUAAAUGUUUUUUCGCCUAAGGAUGGGUCUGCGGCCGAUUAGGUAGUUGGUUAGGUAAUGGCUUACCAAGCCGUUGAUCGGUACGGGUUGUGAGAGCAAGAGCCCGGAGAUGGAACCUGAGACAAGGUUCCAGGCCCUACGGGGUGCAGCAGGCGCGAAACCUCCGCAAUGUGAGAAAUCGCGACGGGGGGAUCCCAAGUGCUAUUCUUAACGGGAUGGCUUUUCAUUAGUGUAAAGAGCUUUUGGAAUAAGGGCUGGGCAAGACCGGUGCCAGCCGCCGCGGUAACACCGGCAGCUCUAGUGGUAGCAGUUUUUAUUGGGCCUAAAGCGUCCGUAGCCGGUUUAAUAAGUCUCUGGUGAAAUCCUGUAGCUUAACUGUGGGAAUUGCUGGAGAUACUAUUAGACUUGAGACCGGGAGAGGUUAGAGGUACUCCCAGGGUAGAGGUGAAAUUCUGUAAUCCUGGGAGGACCGCCUGUUGCGAAGGCGUCUAACUGGAACGGUUCUGACGGUGAGGGACGAAAGUUAGGGGCGCGAACCGGAUUAGAUACCCGGGUAGUCCUAACUGUAAACGAUGCGGACUUGGUGUUGGGGUGGCUUUGAGCUGCUCCAGUGCCGAAGGGAAGCUGUUAAGUCCG